ACGGAGGGCAAAACACAGGACAUGCAGGCGUGAGCCUGAGAGUUUAACGACAGUGCGGGAGAGUAAGGAGCCAUCCCAUCAGUUAGUAAGUAGGGUAAGGGCCUACUUAGACGAAGACGGGUACGGGGAAUUAUGGUUUGAUUCCGGAGAGGGAGCCUGAGAGACGGCUACCAGGUCCAAGGACAGCAGCAGGCGCGAAAAUUACCGCAGCCUGCAUUCAGGGCGGUAGUAAGGAGACGUGAGCACGAUGUGCAGGUAAAUGAUGCACUGGAUACAGGAGGACAAGACUGGUGCCAGCACCCGCGGUAAUACCAGCUCCUGGAGUGUCUAUGAUGAUUGCUGCAGUUAAAGAGUUCGUAGUCGGAGCGGGACGAAGGGCGUGACAGACUGCCUCUCAAGGGGGGAUCUGCGCCGUGACCUCGCGGAGUGAGGAGCGUCUAGGGGCCAGGCUAUUAAGCGACGAGGGGUGAAAUCUGGUGACUCGCUUAGGAGCAACAGAGGCGAAAGCGCUGGCCAGGGGCGAGUCCGAUGAUAAAGGACGUAGGCUAGAGGAUCGAAGACGAUUAGAGACCGUUGUAGUUCUAGCAGUAAACGAUGCCGAUGCCGUGGUGCCGACAAGGCGACGCGGAAGAGAAAUCGAGUAGGGCCCUGGGGAGAGUACACGCGCAAGCGAGAAAUUUAAAGGAAAUUGACGGAAGAACACCACAAGGAGUGGAGUGUGCGGCUUAAUUUGACUCAACGCGGGACAGCUUACCAGGCCCGACGGCCGGACGAGUGUGGUACACGAUAGGCCGGAGAGUGGUGCAUGGCCGU
rnacentral:rRNA from 1 species